rnacentral:misc_RNA from 1 species
UUAAGUUCAGCGGGUAUCCCUACCUGAUCCGAGGUCAACCUUGAGAGGCCACCCGCACGAGGCGGACGGACCGUGGAAGGCGGACGCCGCCGCGGCCAUUGCAGCUCUGGUUUACCCAUUAGCUGAGGCUUCGGUAUCGCGACAUCCCCACUGACUUUCGGGGGCGUCUCCCCUCGAGGGGGGAGACGGCCGCCCAUUAC